AAUGAUGCUACUUGAAAUGGUUGGAGGAAGGAAGAAUUUUGACGCAAAGGCCAUUAAUAGCCAAGUGAACUUUCCUGAGUGGAUUCAUCAACAGUUGAAUGAAGGAGAAGAGUUGAAAAUCAGGAUAGAGGAAGAUGAUGAUAUCAUGAUUGUUAGAAAAUUGGCUAUUAUAGGACUUUGGUGCAUCCAAUGGAAUGCAAUGGAUCGGCCUUCCAUCAAAGUUGUUACUCAAAUGCUAGAAGGAGAUGGGAGCAUGUGCAUCCAGUGGAAUGCAACGGAUCGACCUUCCAUCAAAGUUGUUACUCAAAUGCUAGAAGGAGAUGGGAGCAUUCUAACUAUCCCUCCUCCUUUUACAGCAAGAUACACCAACCACCAAGGA
rnacentral:lncRNA from 1 species